GGGGAUCUUCGGACCUUGCGCUAAUAGAUGAGCCUAAGUCAGAUUAGCUAGUUGGUGGGGUAAAGGCCUGCCAAGGCGACGAUCUGUAGCGGGUCUGAGAGGAUGAUCCGCCACACUGGGACUGAGACACGGCCCAGACUCCUACGGGAGGCAGCAGUGGGGAAUAUUGGACAAUGGGCGAAAGCCUGAUCCAGCCAUGCCGCGUGUGUGAAGAAGGCCUUUUGGUUGUAAAGCACUUUAAGCGAGGAGGAGGCUACUGAGAUUAAUACUCUUGGAUAGUGGACGUUACUCGCAGAAUAAGCACCGGCUAACUCUGUGCCAGCAGCCGCGGUAAUACAGAGGGUGCGAGCGUUAAUCGGAUUUACUGGGCGUAAAGCGUGCGUAGGCGGCUUUUUAAGUCGGAUGUGAAAUCCCUGAGCUUAACUUAGGAAUUGCAUUCGAUACUGGGAAGCUAGAGUAUGGGAGAGGAUGGUAGAAUUCCAGGUGUAGCGGUGAAAUGCGUAGAGGUCUGGAGGAAUACCGAUGGCGAAGGCAGCCAUCUGGCCUAAUACUGACGCUGAGGUACGAAAGCAUGGGGAGCAAACAGGAUUAGAUACCCUGGUAGUCCAUGCCGUAAACGAUGUCUACUAGCCGUUGGGGCCUUUGAGGCUUUAGUGGCGCAGCUAACGCGAUAAGUAGACCGCCUGGGGAGUACGGUCGCAAGACUAAAACUCAAAGGAAUUGACGG
rnacentral:rRNA from 1 species